GCCUAGCCCCGAUUGAAGCAUUUGUUUGAGCUCUUUUUUGUUUUUUUCAAACAAAAAAAGCGAGUGCGGAAAGCGGGAAAUUGC
rfam:Tenacibaculum dicentrarchi strain AY7486TD, complete genome.